UGGCAGCACCUGAAACCGUGCCCUUGAUGACACGGGGGCUGCCGAGAGACCGGCGUCGCGCCUCGGUCCUGCUUAGUUGACUGGUGCACGUGUAGCCUCAGGGUUUUGAGCCCUUAAUAGGAAAGGCGAGAGCGGAGGUCAUAGUCACGUCUGAUUAGGUAGCCAAAUGGAUAACAUGCAGACUAAAGUAUGCUGCUGAAACACCAGUGUACGGGCAAGAGGACAUAAACUAAUGCUUUAAGCGAUUAACUAGCUCUAAAAGGCAGACUACCUUUUCUACAGUCCCCUGAUCUAGUUGUUUAUGAUACGGUUUGUCACUGUGACUCUUAAACAUGAAAUUCAGCUUGGAUUUUACUAAAACAUCGCCCCUUGUGAGAAUCAUUUUAUCGCAGCAAGCAUUUAUUUAUUCCCCAGGAAAGCCCAUCUUCUCUUUCUUCCUGUUCUCCUUUCCAUCCCACAUAGAAUACUCUAAUGUGGAUAAUUACACGGAAAAGGUAUAAAUUCACAUGGCAGUAUUCAGACAUUGCACAGAAAAAGUAAUUGUGUGUUAAACCAAACAAGGGAGCAAGUGUUAGAUAUUUGGCUUUCUGGAAUCUACUCUUAUUUGUUGUAAUCGUUCUGAGGAGCCCUGUAAUUCCUUUUUAUACUUCAUGUGCAGAGUUUCCCCAUGAAUAACAAAAGAGUGGUGUUUCUUUGUUACUGAAGUCAUUGCCUGAUAUAAUUUAAUGUUUUAACAUGAGCACAUCAUAUCAACCAUUCAGAAAACAUGGAAAACACAUUUUUUAAUGUUGAAGUUACUGCCAUUAUCAUUUUUCAGUAAUUAAUCUUACCUAACUUUACAGAACUGUUGUCUUAUUAUAAUUAUUUCUUUAUAAUCUUUAUCCUGCUCUCUGAUGCUCUCUUUCUUUUUUUUUUUCCUGAAUUUUUAGGGUCCAAAAAAGAAAAAAAAGACUGUCUCUGUGGAGUGUCUACCAUCAGGAACAGAAAUCUCUUCUGGUGUUACUUCAUCAACCCCAGAUGGAAUCAAACCACGUUAACUGCAAGCAUAUUAUACCUGCAAUACAAUGGGAGUGUUAAUUGUGUAAACAUUGAGUAAAACUGAAUAAAGAUAAUCUGGUCCUUGGCCAGUGGCAAAAACAAACUUAGCAAAGCUGAACGACUGAGAAUUCAGAAAGAAGAAGAAGAAAGAAGACUGAAAGAAGAAG